rnacentral:rRNA from 1 species
GAUGAACGCUGGCGGCGUGCUUAACACAUGCAAGUCGAACGAUGAACCGGGUGCUUGCACUCGGGGAUUAGUGGCGAACGGGUGAGUAACACGUGAGCAACCUGCCCCUGACUCUGGGAUAAGCGCUGGAAACGGCGUCUAAUACUGGAUAUGUCCCGUCACCGCAUGGUGUGCGGGUGGAAAGAUUUUUCGGUUGGGGAUGGGCUCGCGGCCUAUCAGCUUGUUGGUGAGGUAAUGGCUCACCAAGGCGUCGACGGGUAGCCGGCCUGAGAGGGCGACCGGCCACACUGGGACUGAGACACGGCCCAGACUCCUACGGGAGGCAGCAGUGGGGAAUAUUGCACAAUGGGCGCAAGCCUGAUGCAGCGACGCCGCGUGAGGGAUGAAGGUCUUCGGAUUGUAAACCUCUUUCAGUAGGGACGAAGCGAAAGUGACGGUACCUAAAGAAGAAGCACCGGCUAACUACGUGCCAGCCGCCGCCGUAA